CUGGAGGAUGAGGUGAUAGAAAGAAGCUCUGCAGAAAAGGACUUGGGAGUGGUGAUGGAUGAGAAGCUGGACAGCGUGAGCUUGCAGCACAGAAGUUUCUGAGAAGCUUACACCAUCUGCAAAAAGAUUUACUGAUUCCACUUCAACACAGGAUUGAUGCAAGGGAAGGAGAUUCCUUAAGGAUCUCAGUUCCUGGAGGAAAAAGAAAUGUCCUGCCUCCCAGGACUUCACCAGCUCCACAAAAAGCGUUCCAGAAACACACCAAGAGCCCAGGUAUGGACACACCUGUCCUGCUUCUGGAGGUGCCGUUCACUGGGCUGGACAAACCCAGUGAAUCUCAGCCUUUCCCCAGUGUGCAACAAAAGGACCAGGAGGAAGACUACAUAGCUGGAUGAUGUUGUGGUAUGUACUGGAAGCCUUUCCCUGUGCUAAACUGAUGCUGCCUCAUU